UUUAAAAAAUUCAGAUUAUGUGGCUGCUGGGAUUCGAGCCCAGGUCUCCACGGCCACAACGUGGAAUUCUUACCACUA